AUAUUGGACAAUGGGCGCAAGCCUGAUCCAGCCAUGCCGCGUGUGUGAAGAAGGCCUUCGGGUUGUAAAGCACUUUUGUUGGGGAAGAAAAGACACCGGCCAAUACCCGGGGUUUCUGACGGUACCCAAAGAAUAAGCACCGGCUAACUUCGUGCCAGCAGCCGCGGUAAUACGAAGGGUGCAAGCGUUACUCGGAAUUACUGGGCGUAAAGCGUGCGUAGGUGGUUCGUUAAGUCUGCCGUGAAAGCCCCGGGCUCAACCUGGGAAUGGCGGUGGAUACUGGCGGACUAGAGUGCGGUAGAGGGUGGUGGAAUUCCCGGUGUAGCAGUGAAAUGCGUAGAGAUCGGGAGGAACAUCUGUGGCGAAGGCGGCCACCUGGACCAGCACUGACACUGAGGCACGAAAGCGUGGGGAGCAAA
rnacentral:rRNA from 1 species